GGCGGCGUAGCUCAGCUGGUUAGAGCAUCGGAAUCAUAAUCCGAGUGUCCGGGGUUCAAGUCCCUGCGCCGCUA
rnacentral:tRNA from 1 species